CCCGAUAGAGGGGGAUAACCACUGGAAACGGUGGCUAAUACCGCAUAACGUCGCAAGACCAAAGAGGGGGACCUUCGGGCCUCUCACUAUCGGAUGAACCCAGAUGGGAUUAGCUAGUAGGCGGGGUAAUGGCCCACCUAGGCGACGAUCCCUAGCUGGUCUGAGAGGAUGACCAGCCACACUGGAACUGAGACACGGUCCAGACUCCUACGGGAGGCAGCAGUGGGGAAUAUUGCACAAUGGGCGCAAGCCUGAUGCAGCCAUGCCGCGUGUAUGAAGAAGGCCUUCGGGUUGUAAAGUACUUUCAGCGGGGAGGAAGGCGAUGCGGUUAAUAACCGCGUCGAUUGACGUUACCCGCAGAAGAAGCACCGGCUAACUCUGUGCCAGCAGCCGCGGUAAU
rnacentral:rRNA from 1 species